GACAAAUAACCCAAAAUAAACCCAUCGACAGGGAUCGAUUCUAGACCGACGGCGCAUCAGGCGAGCGCUUUACCACUGGACUACGACCAGCCCCACCUUUUCGUUUUUAAGCACAGGGCUUAAAUGUGGAUAAAACAUUUUGCUUCAAAAAGAGUAAUAUUCGUAUUUCAGUCCAGAACGUAAAUAGUACACGCAAAUUUUAAACGGUGCUCCCCAAUGUGAAUGGAAAACAAAACUACAAUCAAGUGACGUCGCACGUCCUCGACCAAUAAGCGUUGAGUUUACUUUAAAAUAAAGAGCUUUAUAGACGCGUCUGUUGUCAGGGGGACGUCACUCAGGUUUGCGCUUCAAGAUGUCCCGAUCUACUGCUAUCUUCAUGGUGAUCUUGAUAAUGGCUGUCUGCUAUACCACAGCACAGCACCCUUGUAGGACCACCUGUAACAGGUACUACCAGCGCUGUCGAAACGAUCGCAGGUGUGAAUACAGAAGUUACCUCGACAAGUUCGCUUGCACUAGGAAGUGCAGCGGUGAGGCUAGAAGGUGUGAGAUUAGAUGCGAUCGAGACCUUCGGAAGAGAAGUGUAGGCGGCCAAUAGCUUAAAGACAUUCUGCCGUUUCUUUUUGGUGUUUUGUGAGUGUUUGUUUCGAUGAGCAAAAAGAAACAGUCUGAAAGGAUGCCAAGCCACAUCUUCUCCGACAGACGUAAUAUUGUUGAAGACUCGCUUCAUUUUCAGUUCCAGAAGGACAUGCUAUUUUUAAUAAAUAAAUAAGUUGUUAUUUAGUA